CGUCACUAUGUCAGGGACGGGGAUUGAGAAGGAUCCUGUAGAAGACUACGCGCAACGUGUAUGGUUCGAAGCCCCUGAUGAGAAGUAUGAGUGUGAGUUUGACAUGCCUGAAGACUUUGGAACCAUUGGUGCCAUAAGAGUUCAAAACCAGUACCAUAGACAGUUGUUCCUCAAGAAGAUGGAGAUUGAGUUACCUGACGGGACUGUUACGUUUACAUGUGAAUCAUGGGUGGCCUCUAAGACUGUUGACCCAGCCAAGAGAGUAUUCUUCUCAACCAAGUCCUACUUGCCAUCCGAAACCCCGGAGCCUCUUAUACAGCUUCGAAAGAAAGAGCUAGAG
rnacentral:lncRNA from 1 species